AGAGUUUGAUCCUGGCUCAGGACGAACGCUGGCGGCGUGCCUAAUACAUGCAAGUCGAGCGGAGUUAUUUAGGAGCUUGCUCCUGAAUAACUUAGCGGCGGACGGGUGAGUAACACGUAGGCAACCUGCCCCCUAGAUCGGGAUAACAUUCGGAAACGAAUGCUAAGACCGGAUACACGAUUUGGUCGCAUGAUCGAGUC
rnacentral:rRNA from 1 species